rnacentral:lncRNA from 12 species
CUCAUUAUGAAGACACCAUAACUCUGCCAUUUCCAAACACUCAUUAAUGACCCUUCCUAGGACUUUCCACUGGGAACCCCCUGGGAAGAGCAGGCAACACGAUCCCUCGGCCUGCCAGGUGGUGAGUGGUGUGUGCACAGCUCUCCGCCCUGCUUCAGGAAGAGCUGACUGCAGGUGUAGACAUAGGCCAAGCCUGGGGCCUUGGAGGGCCUCAUCCACCCACAGAGCCCACGCCCUUCCUUUCUCCAUCCUACUGUGGUACAAACACCACCAUCCAGGAGAACGGACCACCUUCUAGUAUGUGCUGGAACUUUGUAGGUCACCUUUCCUGCUAGAAAAACAGGGCUCAUUCAAACAGGU